rnacentral:rRNA from 14 species
AUGUACCUUUGGGUGGGGAAUAACUUAGGGAAACUUAAGCUAAUACCGCAUAAUGCAGCGGCAUCGCAAGAUGACAGUUGUUAAAGGAGCAAUCCGCUUAAAGAGGAGCUUGCGGCAGAUUAGCUAGUUGGUAAGGUAAUGGCUUACCAAGGCUACGAUCUGUAACCGGUCUAAGAGGACGGUCGGUCACACUGACACUGAAUAACG